ACUUCACAGGUGGAGCACGUCCAGGAGACAACAAAGUGUGGGUUGUGAGCAUGGUAGUGGAUUGCUGAAUUGGGGUGAGGAUGAAGGUCACUGGAGCUUGGAUUUGCUUUUGGCAACGUGGUUGGAAUGUAUCUGGCUCAGAACUACGACAUACCAAACCUGGCUAAAAAACUUGAAGAUAUUAAAAAGGACUUGGAUGCCAAGAAGAAACCUCCUAGUUCAUGAGGCCGACUCCAGUACUGCCUUCUGGAUGUACUGAUUCUGCUGCUCUUGAGGGCCUCCUUUGCUAUCUCAACCAAAAGCUUUUGUUUUCAUCUCCAGCCUCAGCGAGUUUCUUCUUUGCUGGACCCUGUGUUGCCUUAGAGCACAAGUGGAGCCGCAGUUAAGAACUACCCUACUUUUCCAGCAUCCUCACCUCUGCCCUUCCUCCUUCCAGCCUCUUGGGAGGUCCUAAGACUGGAAUUAUGGUGCUAGAUUAGUAAACAUGACCUUUAAUUAGUCUCCCCUUAUUCUUUGGAUCUCUGCUACCUGUUUUCAAAAGAGAAAUUGAUGAGUUUUAUAUAGCUGAUUAGAUAUAAAUGAUGCUGAUUUCACAGUUUAGCAAGUAUAAUGGGUGUUUAAACUUUUGGUACUAAAUUAUGUUGUUUCAAAGUAAUUAAAAUUAAAAUCUAGAAGCCAGUUUCUAGUGAAUUAUCUAUUUUUUUAUACUGUUGUCAGGCAGCUCCAUAGUUGCUAAUUUAACCAGUAAAUCGUUUUGCUAUGCAUUAACCGAGAAACUAUAUUCUGAGAACCCUGUCAGGAACUGGGGAAUUUAAAUAUACAUAAAAUGAUGGCUUUUGUCCUCAGAAGUCAUAGUCUAGUAUGCAUGUUUUUCCAUAAUGAUGCAUUUCAUCUGGCUCUCUUCCCUCAAAAGAAUCAUACUUGUUUUAAGGGAUUACAGGUGCAUUUGAUAUUACAUGGUGGAUACAUGAGAAGUUGUCUAUAAAGGAAAUGUUAUGCCUUUUCACAUUUAAAGAAAUGUAUGUACAUUAUAACUUUAGAGUGAUUCUUAUAAGAAAACUUUCUUUUUUGUUUUUUUCUGCAGUCAGAAAUUACCCUUGUAUUUGUCAAACAUAGAAUCAGUCCAUAUUUUUUUAAUUGGAAAAAAAGGUUUAAAUUAACUUUUUCCUCCAGGUCAAGAUACAAAAGUGUUUUAAGGGCCCUCCCCCUCCCCGUCCUCCAGUGCUGUCCCCAGUUUCCUGUAUACUCUGAGAAAGAUUCUGUGCCUAAACAAACACACGUUGCAUGGGGGUUUAUACAGAUAACAAGCUAUAUACAAUGUUUGCCCUUUGCCUUUUUUUAAAAUGGAGAUCAUUCCAUAUCAGUAUGUAAGGAACAAAGAACCUCUUUCCUUUUUUGGCUACAUAAGGUUCUAUUGAAUGGAUAUACCAUAAUUAAUUUACUUUGCUCCUAAUGAACAUUUAGGUUAUUUCCUUUCUUUUGCUUUUACAGUGAUAACCUUGAACAUAAUGUUAUUAUGCAUAUCUGGGCGGGGUAUAGCUAUAAGCUAAAGUCCUAAAAGUGUAAUUUCCACUAAAUAUAGAUAAAGUCCCACUUCAGUGGGUGUUUUGUUUCAGAAGGCUUUUUGGGCAGCUUCACUGGUAAUGCCAUUUCUGAAGACACUUUAGCAGAAACAGUAACCUGGAAGAAUUAGUUAGAGACACCUUUUUUCAGACAGUGAUGACACUAAUGCUAUAUGUGAUUAUAAAAUAAAGUGAUUCUGCGUCUCUUUGAAAACAUGGAUCUCUCAUAUAUGGAGAUAACUUUUAUCCCUAUCAGGGCAUCCUGGGUGUGAGAUAGAUUAAGAUCAUAGUAUGGUUUGGCUUCUCUCUAGCAGUGUGAUCAUAGAAAAGCAGCUUAUUUUUCUGAAACUGUUGUAUUCUCUGUAAGAUGUGGAUGCAAUACCUACCUCAUAGGGCUUCCAUGAGACACAGUUAAGAUAAUGUAUGUGAUGUGUUGCACAGUGCUUUGCAAAUUGUCCAAUAAAUAGUAGAUAUUAGUCCAAUCAUGCUGCUUUUGGUCAGAAUACUUUUGUUUUUCUGCAGUUACUUUUGGAACCAGGGUAUGAACCAUGCAAAAUUUGUCAUCAUUCUGUGGUCUCUCUCUUGGUUGUUGAAAAUCUAUAGUAUCCACCUUGAUCAUACUACCUGGCUCACAAGGUUUGAUCAUGCAUGACUGAAUUGUUAUGAGAAUGAACUACAGCAUUAAAGGAUAAGGCUUACCAUCCUUGAGGGUGUUCAAAAUGCCCCAGGCUUAGACAUCUGUUUCCACAGAGGGAUUCCUUGUUAUCAGCCAUGGUAGGAUUGUUAUUUGUGUAUGUGAUCUCCCAGAGUGGUUGCUUUAGGGAUGAAGUUCACUUGGAUGUUAUAAGAUUACGUCUCUAUGUAUUAUAUCUUGUAAACAAAGCUCAUUUGAAUUUAGGGCUUCCCUCAAGGGUGACACUCAACCUUGCUGAUAGGAUCAUUUCUACCAGCGGGAGCCAUCCAGCAAAUCAGUCUUUGCAUUCACCUUCACCGUGUAAACUGCUACACAGUGAAUACAGGCUGACUUAGUGGUCACCAUUCAGAUACCCUCUCAUAGUUUUAGGUUCUUGCAGCAGUGACAGGGAGCUCAGAGUUCUCAGGCAAGGUUAUCUUCACUGAGAUAAAUGUUGGAGGAACCCAGAACAUCGUAGAUUGUAGGGUGUAGUUUCAAGUUCGUAAUGCGGAUAGGGGUUGUGAUCAUUAUCCUGACACUGAAAGUUCCCUGGGGGCUUUGUAAGGACACUUAACCUCACAAAUCAGUUGAGGGAUGGGAAGAACCACUGCAAGACAUGUGGUUUUUUUUUCCUUUAAAAAAUGUUUGAAAACUCCUAUUGAUAUGAUUUAAGAACUUUUUUGCACCCCUGGCUGUAAAAGGAGGAUUACAUAAAAUACUACUGAAGGUUACUCGCGUGUGAAAAAUAAGACUUCAGUUGAUGUAGGGAACUUAAUAAAGGAACUUGAAAGCUUAUCUUUAAACUCUCCCCCUCCCAAACAAAAAAACAAAGGGAGAGAAAACCCAAAACAAGCUUAAAAUCGCCAAAUGGGGCUGUAUUUUAUGAGUUGAAGUUACCAGUUGAUGUCUUUUGACUUCUAAUUUGGUGUUUUAUGCAA
ensembl:lncRNA